rnacentral:rRNA from 1 species
CGCCUCUUGCUCAACCAUAAGAGGUCUCGCCUGCCCAGUGAUAAUAUUCAACGGCCGCGGUACCCUAACCGUGCGAAGGUAGCACAAUCACUUGUUCUUUAAAUAAGGACCAGUAUCAACGGCAUCACGAGAACUUUACUGUCUCCCCCCCCCAAUCAGUGAAACUGAUCCCCCCGUGAAGAAGCGGGGAUACUAAUAUAAGACGAGAAGACCCCAUGGAGCUUCAAGCUCACCAGUAAUUCAACGGCAAUACUUCCUACGACCUUCUGAUAUAUACUAGCAAGCUUUAGGUUGGGGCGACCAUGGAGCACAACUUAACCUCCACGAUGUUUUAUUUACUUACCCACGAACUACUAAUCUAAGGACUUUUAAAACUACCUUAUGACCCAAUUUUUGAUCAACGAACCAAGUUACCCUGGGGAUAACAGCGCAAUCCAUUUUAAGAGCUCAUAUCAACAAAUGGGUUUACGACCUCGAUGUUGGAUCAGGAUAUCCCAGUGGUGCAGCCGCUACCAAAGGUUCGUUUGUUCAACGAUUAAAAUCCU